GAUGAACGCUGGCGGCGUGCCUAAUACAUGCAAGUCGAACGCACAGCGAAAGGUGCUUGCACCUUUCAAGUGAGUGGCGAACGGGUGAGUAACACGUGGAUAACCUACCUCAAGGUUGGGGAUAACAUUUGGAAACAGAUGCUAAUACCGAAUAAAACUUAGUAUCGCAUGAUACCAGGUUAAAAGGCGCUACGGCGUCACCUAGAGAUGGAUCCGCGGUGCAUUAGUUAGUUGGUGGGUAAAGGCUUACCAGACAAUGAUGCAUAGCCGAGUUGAGAGACUGAUCGGCCACAUUGGGACUGAGACACGGCCCAAACUCCUACGGGAGGCUGCAGUAGGGAAUCUUCCACAAUGGGCGAAAGCCUGAUGGAGCAACGCCGCGUGUGUGAUGAAGGCUUCGGGUCGUAAAGCACUGUGUAUGGGAAGAACGAGCUAGAGUAGGGAAUGACUUAG
rnacentral:rRNA from 1 species